GGGGGGUAGAUGGGGAUAUUUGUAUGUUUUAACUAAAUAAUUUGCUCAAUAAUGAUGUGAAAUUGCAGCAUUUCAGUCAGCACACCUGACGAUCUUGCAGGUGUAACGAUGGAUUUGUUUGCUAAAGUUGUUGAAGAAAAAGUGGACCCGCAUGAGCGCCGUCAUUGCUCUCCAGUGACAAGUGGGACUCUUUUUACACCUUCCUUCUAAAUAAGGAAGCGGCCUGACAGACAUAUGACCACCGACCCAAUUUGGGAGCAGCCCUGAGGGCCUGCUCACCCCCUACCACCUUUAGUGGGCCAGCAAUGACAAAACAUUGAAAGCACUUUCCUGCAGCCACCAGGGCCAUCUCAGGCCUUACUUUGGGAGUCAGAUCCGGUAAGGAUGCGGGGCCCUCGGCUGGCCUGAGGGGGGUGUAUCUCUCCCUGUUUUUUUUUUUUUUGUUUAGUUUUUUUUUUUUUGGUGCAAGGCGUAUUAUAUCUCGCAAUCCUUCAUUUUGGUGGCGGAGCAGGAGAGAGAGUAAGUGCGUGCGCGUGUAGGGGGGAGAGAGAGAGGCGUGGAGGUAGGAGCUGCAAAACAUGGUAAUCGCCAGCAGCAGCACCAGCACCAUCACCUCCAGCGUCGCUUCUUCUCCUCCUCCUCCGCACCGGGGUUUGCGUUUCAUGCCCCGCGCGGCUCCAGAAAUAACCCUCAGCCAGCAUGCCGAAGGGAGAAAAACAAGAAGAGCGGUAUUUUUAGGCUCAUUAAUUUGGACCACGUGGUCUGAAGGUAAACCGGAUGGCCGGAGCUCACAGGCUCCUCGUCAGUAUGUCCUGCGAGGCCGGCACGCCGCACUGGACGCUGACGGCGGCGGUUCUCUUGAGCCUCCUGCUGGGCAUCGUGUCGGCGUACCCGCUGCCGAACGCCACCUCGCUGCUGGAGAAGCGAUGGGAGACGCUCUUCUCCCGCUCCGUGCUCGGGAUCUCCGGGGAAAAGCCGGAGCUCAACUGGGAGAGUGACUACCUGCUGGGCAUCAAGAGAGUGCGGAGGCUCUACUGCAACGUGGGCAUCGGCUUCCACCUGCAGGUCCUUCCCGGCGGCGCGAUCAACGGCGUCCACCGCGAGAACCAGUACAGUCUCAUUGAGAUCUCGACAGUGGAGAGAGGGGUGGUGAGCCUGUAUGGAGUCAAGAGUGACUUGUAUGUCGCCAUGAACAGACGGGGGAGGUUAUAUGGGACGACCGUGUUCCAUGAUGAAUGCAAGUUCCGUGAACGGAUGCUCCCCAACAACUACAAUGCAUAUGAGUCGCUGGCGUACAGAGGCUCUUACGUGGCGCUCAGCAAGCACGGCCGCGUCAAGAGGGGCAACAAGGCCACCACUGCCAUGACUGUGACGCACUUCCUACCCCGAAUAUGAGCCUCCCCACACCCACUCUGAGCAAAGGCUGGCAAUAACACACUUAUUUGCACAUGUGGAUUCUUUCCCAGAAAGCUGCUCGCACCCUAACCGACCCACAGCACUGGGCCUGCUUCAGUGAGGAGAGCGCCCGUUACCAAUUGACCAUGCAAGCGGCUUUCUUACCAUUCCUACUAAUUGCCGCCCACGUUUCUACCUUGGAAUGUAAGUGGAUUUCCCAAGACUUGAAAGAGAGCCAGAUCCAUCAGCGCUUGACCUCGAGAUCACAUGAACACACGCCAGCAAGGAGGACACUCUACUACCUGCAGUCCAGCAACCGAUCAAUGAGGCGGCGUUUUCUGGUUGUGCCAUCAGUCUCGCAAAAGCACUUGUUGGCCCCUUUGGGGAGGCGAGCUAGAAGGAGUGAGGAGGUGAACCCAUCCGACCCGUUACGAUCUGAGUCGGUUCCCUCUCAUUCAGUAAUGGACCGUAAAGAUUCGGAGCACGGGCAGCCAGAGCCGGAACCAGAUCAGACAGGAGCAGUGUCGAAAGAGACCAUCUCCUCCUGUGAUGACCCUCUAAAGGUGUUGCACGCCAACGGGCCGGUGAGUCCGGUCAAGGCUAACAUAGCGGAACAAGACUGACCUUGUAAACGGGGAAAGAAUGUGCUCUAGAACAUUUGUGGUCAAGUAUCAGGAGUGAUAGACUCUUGUCAAAACUAUUGUUCAUGUCGUAAAUAAUGGAAUAAUCCGUUGCAUGGAUAAAAGUUCCAAAUCUUUUAGUCUAGUAGGCCUAUUGUUUUUUUUUUUUUGUUUGUUUGUUUUUGUUUUUUUUAAACUCUUUCAGUGAAAGUGAGGUACAAAUGAAUGAACUCCAAUGCAAAUUUGGAGAUCCAACAUUAUCAUUUACCGGUAAUUAUUAUUUUUUUUAAUGUAUACCGGGUACUAGAAUGAUGAGGUACGGCCAUUGAAUGACAGCAUUGGAUCUCUUUUGCAUUCAGUCAGAACAAGAGGAAGGGAGAUGAGAAAAUGGUGAUGCUCUGUAUAUCUGGCAGUUGAAAUGUUGCUGCCGCUCAUCAAUGUUUCAAGAGUGCCACAAAGAUCUCUCUUUUGAUCAUUUAGAUUCAAAGAUAGAAAUGAUGACGCGGCUGAUUAGACCAUCAGAAGAGUUGUAGUUCAUCAGAACCACGCUCAUCGCGUGACAAUAUAUCAAGCCAAGACAACCCAUCAUCCUUUGAUGGGUGCUUGCUGUUAACACACCGAUAAUUUUUUGUAAAUAAAUUUUUGAAACAAAAGUAUUUCUAUUGUUUCAUUUUUUUUAUUAGUAGGAAGGCACCUUUCAGAUGUUACUAAAACUAUCAAAAAAAUUAAGCGUUGUGUUGCAAAUAUUAUGCCUAUAGGUUUUUCUCCAUUUCAUUCCAGAGUUCUUGGCUAGAAGAACUAAACAAGACAACCCUUUGACAUCUAUUAAAAAAAAAAAAAAAAAAAAAAAAAAGUUUCAUUCAGCACGUAGUUGUCCUUUAACCUCCUUUCGUCAGUUAAACUUUAAACCUGAGCGAAGAUGUGGUAAUGUUUGUCUUGCGGAUUGAAAAUCCAUCUUUAUUAGCAAUUGUUUAUUUUAAAAAAUUGUUGGCUAAAAAAAAAAAAAAAAUUAAAUCAGUUUAAAUCUACAGUAUCUGGAUCAGACAGUGCGCAUGCUGCCAUUCACGUCAGGUGCCAGACACCAAGCCAUACAUUAAGGUAUAUUUAUUCAUUAAGCGGCAGAUGAUGGAUGUAACUUAUUCAAGAGGAAGAGAGUCUCAUUUCACAAUGACAUUUGCGGUAUGAAUUAUGGUGCUUAUACAUGUCAAGUGCUGUGGAUGAUCAUGUUUCAGUGCCACUGAUGUCAUUAAUGUCCAUACUGCAUUAAAUGGUUAAGAUAACUGCCAACCCUCCCAGUCAAAAGGGAUGAGCCAUAACGGUAUUACUAAAUUGUAAUUUUCACACCAUGUAUCAAUUUAGUGUCAAGAUAUCAUGUGACUAUUUAUAGAGUGCUGUCCAAAAGAUAUAUGCAUAAAAGGGCAUUUAUAUUAUGCUGUCAAUAUUUGAGUUGGAGAAAAAAAUAGGUCAGUAGUAGUUUUUGUGAAUAUAAGAUUUUUUUGUUCAAAAUUUUUGAAUGCGAGUACAUAUUGGCAUUGUGUUCAGAUUUCAGUUGCCAUCUUGACACCCAGACUCAAGCAAUGACAGCAUAAUAUAAUUACAAAUGCAUAGUCAUUCAUGUCUUUGACCGUGUUCUUACGCCAUAGCCAUCGACUAUAUUUGCACAUGAUCUCCUCUGUUGACAAACAAGCACCGAAUACUUAACACUUUAAAAGUCUGGUCGGCCUCUUUGGUCAAGGUGAGCACAAAGCGACUGACACCCGCGUUAGGACUCAGAGAGAACAUGCCUGCUCUGCUACAGCCCUCGGGCACAGGGCACAUUAAAUCGUCCACCAAGUAACGCAUGGUCACACACAAGUAGGCCCCGUGGGUGACCACCAAGGCGUGGACUGGAAGCUCGUCCGCUGAAGAACGCUCGUCUUGGCCUCUCUCCGGCCAGUGUUCGCAUCCGACUUGUUGGACCAUUUUGAGCCAAAAAUCUUUGACGCGCUGCUUGACCUGAAGACAGUAAACGCCCGCUUGUCAAUUUGUGUGGAAUCCUGAUGCAACAACAGGCAACUAUGAAUCAGACAGGUGCUGAUUAUAAGCCUCCAAUCUAUCUUUGGCUGCCGUACUCAUCAUCGUUAUGUGCUGUCUCAUGCUGGAAUGGAGCCGAUUCAACUCUGGAAACUAGAGGAGACACAUUUCUGGAAUAGAACCAUGCCUGAAUACAAGUCAGUGAUGACUUUUUAAUCAGAGCCACUCUAAACAGUAAGGAGGAUGUACUUUGAUGUCAUCUAGGCAUGAGGAUGUACAGAACCCCUGCAUUUCCAAGCUCUUUAUGUUUGUCCUUAUAUGUGCCGCCCUCUAGUGGCCUGCUUUUCCCACAAGUGUAAUUUCAUCGCUUGAGCAGGGCAGAGCAAAAAGACAGGUCACUAUUUUGUAAUUGUAUGUGUAAUAAGUUAAGAGUUAGUAUCAUGUUAAAAAAUAAUAAAGACUGUGUGAAUAAGAGGGGUAAAUAUUUAGACUAUUUAAGACUCUGCAAAUCAAUAAAAUAUGGCCACAAAAUACACACUUUUUUUACUAUAAGGAUGCCCAUUUACAAAAUGAUUCUUAUCCUGAGCUAGAAAAUGUAAAAUGUUAAGUAUAAGAACCAUAUUUAAGAAUUUUGAUUGAUUAAAGAUCAAGGUUGUUUCCAGUAGAAUGCUUAAUUUUACUGAUCCUUUUGACUUUUUUUUUUACACAAUAAAACUCAAAAGCAGGAGGAUAGGGAUACAAAAAUAAAGUAAAACCGUCAUUUAAACUGGAAUUUUGUGCAAACUGCGUAUUAAAUACAAUACAUACCACAGGUGGUUAUUAACGCCUUAUAUUUAUUGUUACAUUUACUUGAGUAACUUUUUGAGAAAAAUGUACCUCUAAGAAUAGUUUUACUAAGCCAUAAUUUUUUACUUUUACAUGAGUAGAUUUGUGAAGAAAAAAACCCAACUCUUACUCCGCUACUUUGGGCUACACAAGAGUUGUUACAUUUUUGCUCUUUAUUCUUCAUAUUAGAUUUAAACUCUCUUCCAGUUUUUAUUUGGCACCGAUUGACAGCGGAAAACAGGAAAUGAGCCUUUUAAUUUAAUAAUUGAAAAUGUUUUCUUCACUGGACGGCACUCAUGCUCUUUCAACAAAUGAUGCUUCAUUUAUGUAUUUUUUUUCGCUUGUCGAAAUUCAUUUAUUUUUUUUGUUUCUCUGGCUUAAUGUGGUUAUGAAAGUGGUUAUAGUACAGUAUAACAAUAACAGUUCAAAUAGAUUAAGUGCUAAGAAAAAAUAUAUACCUUUAUUUAGAAGGAAAAAAAUCUAUUGUAAGCAGUUACUCGUUACUUGAGUAUUUUUUUCACCGCUUUUUUUUUUUUUUUACUUGUACCUAAGCACAUUUUUGGAUGACUAAUUUUACCUUUACUUGAGUAAUAUUAUUUUGAAGUAACGCUACUCCUACUUGAGUAAAUUUUUUUGGGCUACUCUACAUACUUCUGAUACAUAAAGAAUAACUAGUCUUAAUUUUUUCCCUACUAUCACAAUGAAUCAAUCGAGAAUUAACAACUGUUUUGAUUUUGUGAGCAUAUGCAUUUUACAAAUCAAAUUAGACGACUUGUAUGAUACAAUUUUGACAGAUAUCAAAGAUUUGUUGCAUGAUAUAAAGAAUACAUUACUUCAUUCACACUAUGUUGAGAUUUUAUGAGCAAUCUGAAGCCAAAUUAUUAUUUUGUAUAUAGAGUGUUCUAAAGUUGAAUUAUUACCUGCUCUGGAGUUUCUCCUUGCGGAGGAGUGAAGACAGCCAAUGACUGACCAGCGGCCUUGGCCAUAUCUUUUGCAUCUUGUAAUCGCUUCCCCUCGGCUAUCCCAAAGCUCUAAAAACAACAAAAAGCAAGGGGUCAUUUUACAUGAUUUUUCCAAAAAUGAGAUACCUUGUGCAUGUGUAUUAGAGACGAUUUGUUCGACUGACCUUCUCCUUAAGUAGAGGGUCACAGAUCAGCUGUAGACCAGCACAACUACUAUUGUGCUUCACAAUGGUUUCAGCAGUCUAGAAAAGAACCAUAAUUAUCCACCUGUCCUUUUUCGAUUCUGCUUGUUCUAUUCAAACCUUCAACCUCUCCUUAACAUAAAACACCCAACCUGUCGCGCUCUCAGCAUGUCACUGACAAACAGGUUGGAGAACUUGACAUCUUUCAGGUAGCGACCUGCUGCCUCAGCCUGUUGCAGUCCAACCUCAGACAGUGGGCAGUCUAUGGCCUGGCCUGUAUUCAAAAUUAAUGAAACACGAUGAAAUGUCUCGAAAGAAGACAAAGAAGCUUCCUUCACAAUGGUUUAUUAUAUAAUUACAUGACACCAUACCUUGUAGCAGGCCUUCUUUAUUGUACUGGGUUUCUCCACUGUAAAAAAAUAAAAUUAUUUCAACUAACAUAUCCACACAGGAAAAGUAAAACACGUGCGAAAGACAGCAGUCUUGUAUAUGUGUAUGUAUAUAUAUAUAUUUUUGGCGAGGGGGUCACAUACAAAUUAUUUAAAGCAAUGCAAGGGCGUAGGUUUGCAUAGGGACGGUAUGGACAUAAAACACGCAACUUUUCAGGAUGCUCAAAUUGUCCCCACAAACUUUUAAUCAACCUUAUUUGCAUUAUAUAAUGUGUUGAGUUAAAGAGGUCAUUUAGAUUGACUUCCCAUAUGUUGUAAUGAUAGAAUUGACCCUACCAUUAUUAAAUGAUUUAUUUUCAUUAUGUUCAGACUUACAUUUACUCCUUUUUCACUGACUGAAUGAGCCGCUCCAUUUUUUUCCCUCAAACGCACAUUUGAUUGGCUGAUGGACCCCCCCCCCCCCCCCACACACACACACACACAUGGACACUCUCACAGUUCAGGAUUACAUUGCAUGUCGACAUGCCUUCCUCUGCCCGCUUUGAAGAGGAGGGUAUUAGAAGUUUUUUUUUCGGCCAGCAGCCACUGUAAGUAAUAGAGUUGGCAUUACCAUUACGAUAUACUGUGUGAACCUGCAAACUUGAGUAGGAAGCUGCUUAAGUACUGUAGAAGUGUCUUCCUAUAUGUGUUUUCCACUAUGUUAACGAUAAUUAAACUGUGAGAACUAUAGUAAACUCUGCAGCUGUUAGAAACGUGGUAAACCAAGGUUUACCCCCUUCUCCCCACUUUUCAUUUCAUUUUACUUAUGUGGUCUUAAAGCAGUAGUCCAAAGGAGCUUUCAUUUUUUGUUGAGUUCGGCUGUGCUUGUGGACAAAGAGUAGUGUUUAUCCUGACGGAAGGCUCCAUUUUUAUUUAUUUUUGUUAUUCCAUGACUAACAACUUUUUUGGGGUUAUAUUUAAUUUAUUUAGACAGACAAUUUUGAGUGGUAAUAAGAAUUUUUUUUUUUUUUUUUUUCACAUGGGUUAUAUUUAAUUUAUUUAGACAGACAAUUUUGAGCGGUAAUAAGAUCCCCCCCCCCCCCCCCCCCCACAUUCCUGGAUACUUAAGAGAUGAUUAACAAGCUUGUAUUUCUCGUGUAUGUUAAUAUAAUUUGUGUUCAAAUAAUGCAAUUUAAAUUUGCUAAUAAAAUCCAGACAUUUGUUCUGGAAGUUUUCAAAAUAGUGUCUUUUGUAGUUUUUGAAAACAAAGGGUAAAAUCGAAUGGUGUAUCACCUGAACCAAUACAUAUGCACUGCAAAACCCACAUCCUUAAAACUGAGGCGAAAAAAAAAAAAAAAAAAUCUUAAAUUCCUUUGUUUUCAGUGUAAAUCUACUAGAAAUAAAAUUAUCUGCCAGUGCUUCAGGUAAAUUUUACUAGCUGAAAAUAACAGACUUAUUUGAAACAAACAGUUUGUAUAUUUCAUCUUUAAAAAUGGUCAGAAAUGUUCUUAAUUCAAGAAGUGUUCUAAACAUUAUUCGAAAGCAUUUUUUUCAUGAUUUAGGUGAAAAAUGACCGACUUUUAGAUGUAUGGGCUUAAUAAGAACAAAUGGUAAUAUAUACUAAAAGAAAGUGGAAGAAUCUGACGCAUUUAUCUGUUAACUAGCCUUUAAAACUCAAAACCAGAUGAAACAAAUUAUUCGACUAGAUUUGAGAAAAAUUAACAGAUUAAGACGUUAUACUGUAAAAUUUGUAGUGAAAAAGUUAGUACAAGUCGGUACAGAUAUAUUUUGCAUUAAUGGUUUAGCCCACAGGUGUCAAACCGAUUCCAGAAAGGGCCAAGUGACUCCAUACAAGUGGGUGCUGGAUUUCGUUUCAACCGAUUCCGCGCAGAGAAUUUAACCAAUGAACUUUCUGCUGAAACAAGCAGCACCUGACAAUGAUUAACUGAUUACACAUGUAAAAGAUCUAAUUUGUACAAAGGUAUCCCCUUCAUUGGUUGGAAAGCAAACCUGCACCCUCUUAGUCCUUUCUGGAAUCAGUUUGACACCUGUGUUUAGGUUCUUAUUGGUGGGAAAUGUCGCCCUGGCCGCCGUUCAUCCAAUCUGUUGGGUCUUAUUAAUGUCCUGUCCCCAGCAAAAAGUGUACAAGUAGCUUAUGCUGUUAUAUCGUCCUUACCAAUAUUGAGACCAAACCUACCUCCUUGAAGCAACGUGUUAACUUCAACUAACUGCUUCCACCAGCUUUUAAACCACAGUCGUCUAUUUAAAGUGGAAGUGGAUACUGCAAUCACUUGCGAGGACCGGGUCGGUUAAUUUAUUACCCCCUCUGCUGGCCACUUUGAUAAACUACAUGCAGUGCAUACAUGCCAUAAAGUCAAGCUAUAUUCUUUACUACAGCGUGGCGAUUCAAACACAAGUGUGUCGCGAUAUCAUAUAAGUCCACGCCAGUGGAAGAUUUGUCAGCUAGCGCAUAGCUAAGUCAACAGCGAAGCAAAUACACAGCCACGAGUAGCAGCUUUUGCUGUACUUACUGUCGAACAAAUGUCAGCCCGAACGUUAACACCUCCAUUUCCUGGAUCGUCACAAUGCGCGCUGCUGCCCGCAUGUGUCAGGAGCUGCUUCUUAUGACGGAAGAAACAUGUCGAGUGUUAAAAUAAAUAAAUAAAAUAAUUUAAAAAAAAAAAAAAAAAAAAAAAAAAAAAAAAAAAAAAAAAAGGGGCGACUGUACUUCCUGGUCAGAGCCGUAUAAAGAGAGAGUUGCCACUCUCUCUGAUGUCGCCGCAGGUGGUCACGUGGUUCCUGUAGGGUGUGGGUAGUUCCAAGCACAAGCAGCGCUGUAGUGGUUUUCAAUGGAACUGACAGCGGUAAUUGCAACAUUUAUGCGAAAAUCGAUAAAAUCGCGUAUCUAAGUACUAGUUUGAUUAUGUCAUUGCAUUAUAACAUAUGGCGGAACUUGAAGUUCCGCUCUGAGACCCCCAAUUUGGCCAAAUUUCACAAUUGUCCGAUAUGCAUGUGUAAUACAUCACUGGAAAGCUAAAAUCUCAAUUUUCUGGGGGAAGAAAAAAUUUGGACAGGAGGGCAAUUAAAAUAAAAAUAAAUGUUUUUUUAAACAGCAAAACCCUAUCUGGAGGUGAGAGCACACGAGAGCAGAAUUGCAGACGCCAUGACAUUAACGAGAUAUUUUUGCAUACUUACCUUGUUUCGAUCCAAAAACUCCAUGUCGCAUGUAUCACCGAGUGUCAAGAGACAGCUGUGAAUGGCCGAAGCUGGAUUUUUGGGAGAUUUUAUGGGUGAAACAUGGUAAUAUAACAAGGGUCGCCAUGCAGAAAUCGCAGACAUUAGAGUGGUCGAGAUUUUCAUUUUCAUAUAUUUACCUUUUUAACCCUGUAGAGGCCAGCGUUGUAGAAUUACAACAUUUUUAUUUUUUUGUAAAGAAGGGUUAAAAUGUUUUUUUUUUUCUUUUUUCAUUAGUAUAAUCAUUGGGUCCUACCGUUCAGUCUCACAAUAGGUCUGGAUAGGAAAUUUGUAAAUAAGCCCUGCCCACAGUUCCAGGACUUUCAGAAUCUGCAGAACUUUGGCUGUGCAACAACACUUUGGUUUCUUGGACUGGAUUUAUCAGAUUUAAGUAAGUAUAAUGCCUUUAAUAUCUUUUUUUGGUAAUCAUUACACUUACCAGACCAUGUACAUAUGCAAUUAUUGUGAAAUACAUUCAUCAAAUGUAAAUUAGAGCAUCUUGUAUAUAUGUUGUAAUCUUACAACUGUGGCCCUUGGGUAGUCAAAAUGGCCAUGGUGUAGGUUUACAAGUUACCUGGCUAAGUGUAGCCUAAAUAGACAUUUUGACAGGGACCUUCUAUUUUUCACAAUAUAUUUUAAAAUUACACACAUCUUUUACACUUUCCAGAUAUAUUGUACUGUAUUAUAUAGGCUUUAUAUUUAUUUUAAAUUUCCAAACCAGUGCUAUUUGGAACCCACUGUACAAGAAGCUGUAUUACCGAAAUAUAUUGCAAUAGCAUACCUCUUUCUACUGCUUAUAAUUGUAAUCACGUACAAUAGUUCAGUUUCUCAUUCUGAUUGUAUAUAUGUGCCUAUUAUGUUGGCUCGAUUCAUAGCCUAAGCAGUUAGAUCUGGGGGGAUGCAGAAGGGUGCCUGUUGCAUUGUUCCAAGAAAAGGUGACAACGUUCGGAAAUGCAUUCCCAUUGCAGAAAUGAUCAUCUUUGUAGAAAUGCAACAUGCCAUCCUUUUGGGAUGAUGGUUUCACAUUCUUGAACAUUGUCACCUGAUAAUCAGAGCACAAUAGGUUGGCCAGACAGUAUUGUUUGACUAGUGAGAUGUGUAAAUAGGUUACUUUGUCCCCCGCCCAUGCAUGUACCAAUGUUAUUUCCAUUUAGUUUUUGUCAUUUCAGAAUGUCUUCAGCAAGGAGAAAAACCUUCUACACUGCGCAGGAGGUCAUCGACGCUGUCCAAAAUGAAGAGAGUGAUGUGGACAUAGACUUUGAUGAAGCUCAUGAAGAGUCAGAUGACGAAACCCACGAAGAAGUGGACAAAGGAAACCACCCACCCACUGACUGCCCAGCCAAUGAGGGCAUUGGGCCCCAACCAGCCAAACAUGCCAUGCCCCUAGACAGAUAUCGCCGGCAGAAAAAAGUUUUCAUCAGCUGUGAUUUGGAUAUUUCUGGCCCACCGCUCACAAAAGAUGUUCAUUCCCUCGACACACCAUUGGAAUGCUUCCGAUAAUUUGUGUCUGAAGACAUGAUUGAGUCACUCACAAUAAACACAAAUGAGUAUAGCCUUCAAACACAUGGAAGACCCAUAAACACCAACAAAGAAGAAAUAGAACGAAUGAUGGGCAUGUAUCUUAAGAUGGGCCUGGUACAAAUGGCUGGAGUGCGAAUGUACUGGGAGACAAACGGCUUGCACCUGUUGCUGAUGUGAUGUUUCUAAAUAAAUAUGCUAUUUGUAAAAAUAUGACUCCUGUUGAAAUUAUUAUUAAUAUUAUGUACUGUUCUGGGGCUAUGUAACAAGCAAUCAACCAGUGCGAAUUAACCCAUAGUUUUUUUUUUUUUUUUACUGAGAUAUAAACAUUUGUAUCUUUCUGAUUUGACACUGAGUACAACUAGGGUUAGAGUCAGGAAAUCCUGCUACCCCAUUUAGCCAGCGUUGUAAGAUUACAACGUUCUCAUAAAACUUUAUGAAACCAUUUUUUUUUGCAAACACUUCAUUUUCAUUUUCAAAGGCCUCCUACAACACCAUAUAAGUGAUUGAAUUUUUAAAAAAAAAAAGUUUUUCUAUGUCUGGCCACUACAUGGUUAAACUUUUUUGUUUUUUUCUUUGUUUGGAUCGAUUGGAUCGAUUAUUUAUUAUCUAACAUAUCGGAAAAAUGUGACAGUAACCAAAAAAUACAAUUUAGAGCUAGUUAUGAGGUAUAUAUCCGUGACUUUUUUACAGAUGCCAUUUUUUUCAUUGUGACGUAAUUUGUCUAAAAGUAGAAAAUAUGCGCGUGAAUAGAUUCUUUUUUUUUUUUUAAACAAAAUAUUACACAUCAAUUAAUGAUUCUAAGCUAAAAAAUAACAGGCAUUUUGAAUAAUAAAUAGAAUUACCCUUGUUUUCAUGGCUGGGCUGAAACAAAAACAGUUGCGCGACGUCUGCAAAUGGCGGUUUUCAGGGUAAAACGGGCAAAUUAAAAAUAGUUCGGGGGCUUAAUCCGCCAUGAAUCUGCUAUGACAGCAUAUAGACAUAUUGUUCAACCAAACACAAGUUGUUUUGGCUUAAAAUACAGCAGUUUCUUUUAAAGAGAAGUGCAAGAGCAGAAACUUUUCAGUUUUGUCUGUGUUUUCCGCCAUAUAUUUUAAUGCUAGUUUUACAUUUGAAGAGGUAAGGCGACAACUAAAAACUAUGUAAACUAUUACGCAGAAGCAGGGGUGCCGUAUAGGGGUGAAAAGUGAUACUGAUUCUAAGGGCCUAUGCCCUAAUGGGGGCCCACAAAGAAAAUUAGAACAUUAGGUAAUUGUUUGCAAAUUUAAAUAUUAAUCAUCAUAAUUUUAUUAGGAAUAAAACGAAGGGUUUCUUUUUCUUGUUUUGUUUUUGGCAAAAAGUAAUGACCCAGAGAGCAUAUGUAUUCCCAUCCCCCCGUAGUUUCAUUAAAUGGUUUGGUCCGCCCUUCCUUCGAUCAGACCAGGAGCAGUGGUGAGCAUUUACACCAGUAAAUGACUCAAUGAGCGACAUUUCCCUAUUCAAAAACAUGAAUUUCAAAUACGGAUGGCAUUUUUUGGUAUCCUACAAAUGUUAGUUGGUGUGAAAAUGUUCUUUUUUAAAAUCGGCUUGAAUGCAUUUUGUCAAGAAUUUAUUGAAUUUAGUUUGUCAUCAAUUGAAUAUAGUUUGUUAACAAGGGACAUCGCUUCGGAGCUGUAGCCUACUGUGGAGAUCGCGAGUUUACAGAUGAGGCUAAGCCUACUCCAUAAUGAAAUACUGUAAUUGUUUGCUAGCUAGUGUUUGCUCCACUUUUAGCUUACAUUUAAUCUGUACAGCAGGCAAACCGUUAGCAAUCUCGUCAUACUAAAACAGUUGUAAUGUAUACUGUAUAAUGUAAUGUAUACUGUAGUAAGUUAAAACAAAACAUUACAUUUACAUUAAUUCAUUUAAUUACAUUAAGUCAUUCAUUAUGGUAUUUACUUUGAGACUAUUUCUAAUAAAAAUAUAUUUAGAUUGUAAAAGAUGGCCUUCAGUACAUUUCUUAUAUAUGAUAUCAGUCUAUUCAUUAUUGCUCCAUAUACUAUAUGUUUAGAUAGGUAUAUUUUCCUCUUAAAUUAAUGCAGAAAAUGCACAAAUUAGUGUGUGAAGAUUCACCAGAAUGCAGAAAAUUACGAAGUUGAUACUCUAAAUGUGUGUGUGUUCCCCGGCACUGUUGGUGGGGCCCAAAGUGAUAUCUUUUCAUGGGGCUCAAAAUCCCUGGCAGCGCCCCUGCGCAGAAGGGAACUUUCCCAUGUGGAGUGAGUUUCAUGUUUGUCUUAGCAUUAGCACGGGAAGUCGACUUUUACAUUAAAAUGCAAAAUGAUUUUGGUUUUUCUUUUUUCACAACAAGAAUACGGUUUUUCCAGAGAAUGUCUAGAUUUCCUUAAUUCACCUACCUGUGGUAAUAUAUACACCAUGUAUAACAUAUUUUUUUUCCCAAGUUCUAAAUGGCACAUCCUAGUUUGUUUUGUCGAUUUGACAUAUAAAAACACUUUUCUUUCCCAAAAAGUUUGAGGUCACGACUUUUAAAUUCUAUUUUCCACUUUUCUUUAGUCUUGUAAUUUCUAAUGCUUAUAUAUGUGUGUGUGUGUGUAUGUACAUAUUCCUUCUUAUUUUAUAGGCAGUUUGACCUGAAACACAAAGAAAUUACAUUUAACAAAUAUUUCCCGCUUUAACUCAAAUUUUGAAUAUAGCCUAUAAUUUUAGCAAAACCAAACCUGUACCUUUUUAGAGGCAUUUUUCAUUUAGUUUGGACCCAAGCAACCCAAAUAAAAUGAUUACAUAACAGGAACAAAGUUUUAUUAUUUUCUGUAACAUGGUGUAAUGUAUAAAAAUAACAAUUUAUUACCCUUUGAUAAAGAAAAUCAUAUUUUUUAUUGAACAAUUGGUGAAAUUGGUGUCAUGGUUCAUUGUUUACACCUAACAUUUUAUAGCGCAGUGGCCUGUGAUGGUUGGUUGUGCAGCAUGGUUUCCCCAAAGAACAAGAGCAGCAGAAAUGGCAAUUGUCAGCUGUCAAAACAUCAAAUAAAAGGCCUUUUUAAUAUGUUUUUUGCUGUUUGAAAAAGUGGGCUUCGUGCCCACAGCCAGCAGGCACCAGAAGCAGAUCCCAACAGAAGCGUAUCAUGAAAAUGUGACCUAAAAAAAUAUUAAAUUUGUUUUCCAUUAUACAUUUCUGUCUAUUAUUUGUUGAUAUCACUUUACAAUCUAUACACAUCUCUUAAAUAUGUCAAACAUUUUGGUGUAAAGAAUACAGGUUGUCAUGCAUUGACUAGGCACUCUUCCAUGAGGGUGAUACCUUAGUUCAAAGCUUUCAAAAUCGAGUUAAUAAGCACAUGAAAGCCAGUUGUCAACCAAUACUCACAAAUAUAGAUGAGUGUGAAUAUCACAAAAGGCCCCUGAAAGAGAUGACAAUUUAAAAGAGGUAGCGACUUAAUGAAUUUAUCCCUGGCGAGACAUUCCCAAUUAGCAGAGUCAGCUUACAAAGUAGGAGAAAAUCGCUUGUCACUAAGAUAAAAUAUAUGUAUAAUUACGCCACGCACAUACAAAUAAAGCUCAACAUAUACAUCAUGAAGCGCCUUACUGUUGAAAAUUCAAAAGGGACCAUUUUUAUCAUCAACUUACCUCCGAAUAUACUUGACAGCCAGCCAUUCGUAUGAAUGCAGUCCGCCCUCGUCGAAGCCAUGUUUGGAACUACCCGAGGCUCCACUUCCCGGAAAACCCGGAAGUAAAAUCAUGACAAUCCCUAUGGAAGUGUUGCGAACCUUUUUAUAGACCCCACUCACCAACGUCACACAAUGAUGUGUCGCUGUUUCCGGCCACCAUAUUGUCCGUCAUUUUUUAUCCGUAUUCUCAAUGGUUUCAAUUUGUCGUGCAAUUCAUAGUGCAAUUCCUUGAAAGCCCCGGUGCUUUCAGACGCUGUAAACUCAUUGGAUGCGUUGCAUAAAAGGCGUUAUGUGGAAAAGCUGCAGUCUAUCCAUUCGCCAGAUCCAUAUUUGAUGCCUAAAUCGAUAUUUUUCGACCCGCUGUCUUCGCUGUCUCUGCCUGACAUCUGCUACCCUGAUAUCUACAACUAUCUUGUCCACAGAAACUCAGCCUAUUCUCACGAAACUUUGAAAAACUUUAAGAGCAGCACUCUAAGCAACACUACCCUGUGUGACCCUUUACUUUCAAUUUUCUUAAAUGGCGACAAUCAAUAAAAAAAAAAGUUGACUGCGAUGGCCGACGCUGCAAGGAUAGGUGGAUAUGGGACUAUUUCUUCAAUACAAUACACAACAACUGUGUCUGCCUCAUUUGCAAGGGGACAGUCGCUGUUUUCAAAGACACGCUGACAUGUACGACAUUACAAGGAAGAUACACAGCGAGAAAUUAUAGCAACUUGAAGCUAGUUUAAUUUCACAGCAGCAGUAUUCGCAAGAGCCCGAGUGUCGAAAGAGAACGCCACAAAGGCGAGAUUGUUGAAAUGAUGAAAAAAUAAUAAUAAUAAUAAAGCAAAUGUGACACACAGAAGGGCUUGCUAAAAAUUGUUUAAAUAUAUUGUUCUACGUAAAUCAGCCAAGGUAGCCCCCCACGUUUUUACCACACCAAAUCUGGCCCGCUUUGCAAAAGGUUUGGACACCCCUGUUUAACUGAUGAUCCGUAGACGAGGCCAGCUUCUUUCACUUGGUACCAGCUAAAUAUUAUUCAAAAUGUAAUGAUGGCGGAAGAAAUAAGCAUCUUGAAUUUGAAACUGUAUGUUGUCGGCGAUUAGUCUCGCAAUGAUCUUAAUUGUGGUUGUCAGCCCCAAACCCUCUAAAUAUAUAUUAAAUGCAUCUUACCAGGUAUAAAAUGACUACUACAUAAUCUGUGCUGAUCGUUUGGUGCCCAGUUUUCUCGUCGAAUUGCAGCAGUCCAUCUUGCUCUCCUCUCUGGGUCUCUCGGAAUACGGUAAAACUUCAAGACUCUCGUCUAUCUUCUCUGUUACUGCAACCAACCGCCACACACGCCUUCACCAUUUUGAUUAUUAAUGUUAACGAGCAGAAAAACACACCAUAAUAGGAGGAAUUUACAUAGAGGUAAUGCAUAAACACGACGAGCUGACGGACAAUAUGGCGCGGAGGGAUAUGGCCCUGUUCAUGGUAACCCAAAGUUCUAAGCUAAUUUCGGUAUUACGUACGCACGACACUUUUGGAUGGUCCCCUCUGCAAAUUAUACGGUAAAUUAUUAUUACUCCUUUUACAUUCAUAAGACUAAACAGCAGGGGUGAAAGUGGUUGGAAUUUCUUGCCGGAACUCCCCGACAUGAAGGUCGCCAUGGAGCCAGAAA